GCCUCCGCCACCACCGCCAGCCUUCCGCCGCCUCCGCCACCACUAGCCUCUCAAUCGAUUCAAGUUAGGUAAUUUUGUUGUUCUCAAUCUCUAACUCUAGCCUCUUUACCUCUGCUCAUCUGUCAUUUUUUUCUCCCCCAAUCUGCAACCGAAUGUUAGGAUUUUGGUUAGAAGUGCGUAAACUGGAGUUUUUGAGCCUCUACAUCUACACCACUGUUAUUUUCCUUCUCUCUAAUUCUGAAAUCUAAUGUUAAGGUUUUGGCUAAAAGUUCGUAAACUGAUUUUUUUUCCUCAAAAUUAAAUUAAGGAUAUCUAAUUAAAUUCUCAAAAUUCAUUGAAGAAUUCUUCGGUGUUUGAAUCUAAAUUAGGUUUUCUGAAUCAGAAUUAUGGAGUUUUCUGGUAUGGUGCUUCAAUGGAAGUGUAAUAAUGAAGCCCUAAAGGAAGAAAUGAAGAGUGAAACGAGCAUAGAUAAAAAUUGAAGUGCAUAGAUGGAAUCCCCCUGCUCUUGUUUACUAUUAAUUAAUUCUCUUUAGCCCAAAUACUUUUGUGUUCUCCUUUGUUGGUUCAUCUGCUUCGCUGAUGUCCGUUGAAAUCGGCAUUGGCUUUACUGACUGUCUCUAAGUUAUUGUAUGAAUAUACUUAUGGUUUACUUAUAUGAACUUUUGGUUUGUUUGAUUGACUAAUUAAGAUGAACCGAGGAUUAAAAAGCGCAAAAGCAAGGAAGAUGACGAAAAACACAAAUCUAACAAAAAUUUCCAAGCGCCAAUAAGAAAGGUAUUUUCCAAUACCUGAAUUCCAUUUAAAUUGGGGUUAAUAUGAUAUUUGUUAAAACCUUGGCAUGCAAAAAAGACCUCUUCAGCUAAAUAAUGGUAAAUGAACCAACGGUACAAAGCUAAAGAAGAAACAACAGAGGGGGUAGGCUAAAGAAGAAAGAACAGAGGGGGUAGGCGAAAUGUUAACCGUUAAUACACGCGCCUGUUUCUCUUAUUCAAAUUCCAAGGUAAUGAUUUUUCAUUUGCAGUCUGUUUAAUUUCGAUUUGGUUUUCUUCUUUGAUGUCGAUAAUUUGAUAGAGAUUGGGCAAUUUCUAUCCCUAAUUUCUCUCUUAAGAUGGGAUUCACUACACACCAGCUUCUGCAAAGGUACUCUCUUUCAGACUUUGAAUGUAAGAAAAUUGAUUGUUGUCUGUUAGAUGAGUCGAGUCGAAAUCGAUGUAAAUAUCGAGUCGUUUUUUCCGUAACUAAUGUUGAUUGUUAACUUCAACUGUGAAAAUAUGUGAUAUCUCCGCAUAGAUUAGUUACCGAUGCUUUCUCUAAUGCUGGAGUACUGCAAAUGCAGGUGUAUGGGUUGUCGUCGUAUCAGGUGUCGAUGGCGUCGAAGUUUCUUCUUCUUCUUUGGUUGAAGAGUUCAGUUUUACAACCACAUCUUCUGACAAAGACGACGAACUAAAGAUACCGAAAGAGAUUCCUUUGGAAAUUCUAGGCCCGUCGAAAGUGUUCCACCAAGUUAUUAAGAAAGUGAUAAGCAUUGCAAUUGCUAAAUAUGUAGCUAAGGUAUAUAUGCUGCUGCCUUUACUCGACUGCAUAUUCAUCGAAUGGGGUUAUUUUAUAUAAUUAUAAUUUUCUUGAAAUUGCAGGAAGGUUUGAAAGUUGGUAAAGAUUUACAAAUCUUUAAAUGGAAUUCAGGUCUUGGAUUGUUGUAAAGUUUCCGACUUGUUUGGUAAUUUUAAACAGAAGAAGACUUAGUCUAUAUUAGCUUGGGCAUUCAACGUGGAUUUGUAUUUGUUCUAAAUUAUCUCACAUUUUGCUUAGGAAAAUUAGUAACUGUGCUAAUAAGUUUUCUUUUGGAUUGGGAUAUUCGGCUCCAUAUUAAAUUAUUUUUCAUUUCCAUUACUUGUUAUGGUGGCCUUGAAAUUUUAACCAAUUCGAAUUUCUUGCUUCAGAUAACAAGUUGAGUGGGAAACGUAAAGACAAAAGUUGAAGCAUGAUAAUUCUUCAAUUAAUAACAAGCAAGGAAUGAGCCUUUAGCGGGAUGGAUUGAGUAGAAC